ensembl:lncRNA
AUGUUCCAUGUUAGAGAGCAAUUUGGAAUCUGCAAAAUUAAUUUCGUGUCCUGUUUCUUUCAUGUGUUGGAAAAGAGAGGAAGUUUUUUCUUCUUUUUUGACGGCAUUCUUGUGUUCUGCGAUACGUGCAUUUAUUCGUCUGUUUGUUUGUCCAAUGUACGUGGCUGGGCAGACUUUGCAGGGUAUUUCAUAGACCCCUUGGUUUUCCAACUGGAUUUUAUCCUUGGGGUUUCUGAGGAUAUUGGCUAUUUUUUGGUUGGUGCAAAAGGCUGUUUUGAUAUUGUGUUUAUGGAGGAUUUUGCUAAUUUUAUCUGUAGUGCCCUUGAUAUAAGGAAGGAGGGCCAUGCCAUUGUUUUCUUGUUUUCUUUAGACAAGUCAGAACACAAACCCAAACUUUGGCUCAGAUAUGUUGACGACACCUUUGUAAUUUGGCCACACGGGAAGGAAAAACUAGAUAGCUUCCUCACACAUCUCAACAGCCUACACCCCAAAAUACAAUUCACUAUGGAAAUAGAAGCCAACAACCAACUUCCCUUCCUUGACGUCCUAAUCUACAAAAAACCUGAUGGCUCCCUAGGACACACUAUCUACCGGAAAAAAACACACACCAACCGCUACUUACAUGCACAAUCACACCACCACCCUGCACAAAUAAACUCCGUAGCCAAGACUCUCAUCUCCAGAACCAAACGCCUGGCUGACAAAGACCACUUGACAACUGAGUUACAGAAUCUCUCCAAUGUGUUAAUCGCCAAUGGAUACCAGCAAAACAGGGUUACGAAGCUAAUGCAAAAAGAAACACCCCCCAAAAACCAAGACACAGAAGAAAACAAUGGCAUGGCCCUCCUUCCUUAUAUCAAGGGCACUACAGAUAAAAUUAGCAAAAUCCUCCAUAAACACAAUAUCAAAACAGCCUUUUGCACCAACCAAAAAAUAGCCAAUAUCCUCAGAAACCCCAAGGAUAAAAUCCAGUUGGAAAACCAAGGGGUCUAUGAAAUACCCUGCAAAGUCUGCCCAGCCACGUACAUUGGACAAACAAACAGACGAAUAAAUGCACGUAUCGCAGAACACAAGAAUGCCGUCAAAAAAGAAGAAAAAACUUCCUCUCUUUUCCAACACAUGAAAGAAACAGGACACAAAAUUAAUUUUGCAGAUUCCAAAUUGCUCUCUAACAUGGAACAUCACCACAAGAGAAUAAUCAUGGAAGCCAUCGAGAUAGAGAAACACCCUCACAACAUGAACAAGCGUGACGACACAUCCCGCCUGCCAGACAUCUGGAAAUUAGCCCUCCCCACAAAAACCGACACCAGAUCCAGAGGCACACAGAACGCCAUCACCAAUCAACCACACCAGACCCAAACCCAGACCCUCUCCACAGAUAAAUUACAGACACCAUCCAGUAGCCAAACCAUGGUGGCACCUCCGGAUGCUGCACCCCCCUGCAAUCCCUACACAGAUCUGGCUGGCACAGGACACAAAACCACAGCUCGCCCCUAUACACGAAGCCAAGCCAGAGCACAACUAAAUGCAGUACAGCCAUCUUCUCAGAAAAACUCUUCACAAAGUUCAAGAGGUCAAGACACGAAGGCUUUAGCAACUAAUCCACACCUAAUGACCCACCUAAGUGGUACUCAGGAUAUCACUCAAGAAAUCACUCAAGAUAUCCCUCAAGUAAUUAAGGAACAAAAGAAGAAAAGGCACACUAGCCUGGGAACUUCCUCUCUGCCCAGAACAUUGGAGGCUAUACACCACACCCCCUCAACAGUAUUUAUAGGAACUCAAACACUGAGAUCCUGCUCUGUUCCAGUAACAAGAAGCCGAAAGCACCAGCCUGAAGAUGACGAGUGA